AUUCCUACGGGAGGCAGCAGUGAGGAAUAUUGGUCAAUGGGCGCAAGCCUGAACCAGCCAUCCCGCGUGCAGGAUGACGGCCCUAUGGGUUGUAAACUGCUUUUAUACACCAAGAAAAACACCCACGUGUGGGUGCCCGACGGUAGUGUAUGAAUAAGCAUCGGCUAACUCCGUGCCAGCAGCCGCGGUAAUACGGAGGAUGCAAGCGUUAUCCGGAUUCAUUGGGUUUAAAGGGUGCGUAGGCGGCCUUUUAAGUCAGUGGUGAAAUCUUGCCGCUUAACGGUAAAAUUGCCAUUGAUACUGAAAGGCUUGAGUACAUUUGAGGUAAGCGGAAUGUGUAGUGUAGCGGUGAAAUGCUUAGAUAUUACACAGAACACCAAUUGCGAAGGCAGCUUACUAAACUGUUACUGACGCUGAUGCACGAAAGCGUGGGGAGCGAACAGGAUUAGAUACCCUGGUAGUCCACGCCGUAAACGAUGCUCACUCGCUGUUUGCGAUACACAGCAAGCGGCCAAGCGAAAGCAUUAAGUGAGCCACCUGGGGUGUACGAUCGCAAGGUUGAAACUCAAAGGAAUUGACGGGGGCCCGCACAAGCGGAGGAACAUGUGGUUUAAUUCGAUGAUACGCGAGGAACCUUACCUGGGCUUAAAUGUAGAGCGACAGAUUGUGAAAGCAGUCCUUCUUCGGACGAUCUACAAGGUGCUGCAUGGUUGUCGUCAGCUCGUGCCGUGAGGUGUCGGGUUAAGUCCCAUAACGAGCGCAACCCUUAUCGUUAGUUGCCAGCGGGUUAAGCCGGGGACUCUAGCGAGACUGCCACCGUAAGGUGUGAGGAAGGUGGGGAUGACGUCAAAUCAGCACGGCCCUUAUGUCCAGGGCUACACACGUGUUACAAUGGCCGAUACAAAGGGCAGCUACUUCGUGAGAAGAUGCUAAUCUCCAAAGUCGGUCUCAGUUCGGAUCGAAGUCUGCAACCCGACUUCGUGAAGCUGGAUUCGCUAGUAAUCGCAUAUCAGCCAUGAUGCGGUGAAUACGUUCCCGGGCCUUGUACACACCGCC
rnacentral:rRNA from 1 species